rnacentral:rRNA from 1 species
UCAAAAACAUCGCCUCUUGCACUUAGGCAUAUAAGAGGUCCCGCCUGCCCUGUGACUUUAAUAGUUUAACGGCCGCGGUAUUUUGACCGUGCGAAGGUAGCGUAAUCACUUGUCUUUUAAAUGAAGACCUGUAUGAAUGGCAUAACGAGGGCUAAGCUGUCUCCUUUUUCCAGUCAAUGAAAUUAAUCUUCCCGUGCAGAAGCGGGAAUCCCCCCAUAAGACGAGAAGACCCUAUGGAGCUUUAGACAAAAGGCAGCUCAUGUUAAAAUAACUAGAUAAACAGAACAAAUUAAGUGACCCCUGCCCUCAUGUUUUUGGUUGGGGCGACCGCGGGGGAACAAAAAUCCCCCAUGUGGAAUAGGAAGUCUUUCCUCAAGAACAGAGCCACAGCUCUAAUAAGCAGAAUUUCUGACCAACAAGACCCGGCAAAGCCGAUCAACGGACCGAGUUACCCUAGGGAUAACAGCGCAAUCCCCUUUUAGAGCCCAUAUCGACAAGGGGGUUUACGACCUCGAUGUUGGAUCAGGACAUCCUAAUGGUGCAGCCGCUAUUAAGGGUUCGUUUGUUCAACGAUUAAAGUCCUACGUGAUCUGAGUUCAGACCGG